rnacentral:rRNA from 1 species
UACGAAGGGGGCUAGCGUUGCUCGGAAUCACUGGGCGUAAAGCGCACGUAGGGGGCUUUUUAAGUCAGGGGUGAAAUCCUGGAGCUCAACUCCAGAACUGCCUUUGAUACUGAGAAGCUUGAGUCCGGGAGAGGUGAGUGGAACUGCGAGUGUAGAGGUGAAAUUCGUAGAUAUUCGCAAGAACACCAGUGGCGAAGGCGGCUCACUGGCCCGGUACUGACGCUGAGGUGCGAAAGCGUGGGGAGCAAACAGG